CCUGGAGGCCUUAGCGCGGUUGACGCACCUUAUCCCCUUCCUAACGCAGACGUCAAACGCCGUAGCGCCGAUGGUAGUGAGGGUUCUCCCCAUGCGAGAGUAGGUAACUGCCAGGC
rnacentral:rRNA from 1 species